GAGAGUUUACCUUUUUGUUUCUAUAGAUUGCUGAAGCAGUUGUGGAACACAAAAGUAGUUGUUUUUUCCCAUAAACCAUCAAACAUUUUCCCAUAAACCAUCAAACAAACCAUUCUAGAUGCAUCAGAUCCAAAAGAUGAAUUUUGCAGUUUGUGUGGGCAAAAGACUUGCGAAAAAGUAAUUGGAUUUCCUGUGACCAAUGCAGCAGGUGGUUUCAUCGAAUGUGUUUAGAAAUCAACGCAUCAAAUUUUAAAGUUAUUUCAAGUGAACCUUGGUUCUGUUGUGCUUGCAAAUAAACUUUUUGUAUUGAAAAAUAUUCACCUCUGUUUUAGUUGUUGUUAAGUUAAGUUGAUAGUAAAAGGCAGUGACGUGAAUAUAGUAAAAACAUCGACAACGAAUAACAGAAGUGGCGUGACCAGGGGAACUGGAAACUGGCGUGACCACGAAAAAGAAGUGGCGAGGCGAGCUCGCCGCAAUAAAAUCAGGACCGGUAUUGGACUAUAAAAGAGUCUAUAAACUGACUUAUGUGGGUAAUAUUAUUUUUCCUAUAAAUAUAAAAAGAUUCGAAAUAAAGUAUUCUAGGAUAUCCUAGAAUACCUAAUUGUUCUGUAUUGUGAAUUCUAUUGUCUGAUAAGAUGUCCCCAUAUUUCAAUAUACCCCUUUCUGCCCAUUCGUCGUAAAAUAUUGCUUUUCCUUUGAUUAAUACAUGUUUGUUUAAAACCACAGCGGUUGAUGUUGUGUUGGACAGUUGUUCAGUUUAACCGUUUCAGCCAUGUUAGCAGGUCGGCUUGCAAUGCUUGAAGCGGAAUGAGCGAUUUGUACAUUUUGUUUUGCUGCGACAAAUUAGACCCAAGAGCUGCUGAUAUCGUAUGUAAGGGAACAACGGGAGUUUCAAUGUCUUUCCAGGGAGCACUAUAGUCUGAAUCAAGUAACUGUUUAAUCGAUCGACUUCUGAGCGCAGUUAUGUAGGAUCCUACAUCGAUCAUGUUGGUUCCUCUAUUUUCAAAAUCGUUUACUAACACCGUUCGUUUAUUCUUUCCCAACUCGAUCCCCAGAGGAAUGUGAAAAUCAUUCUAUUCAGUUUACGCACGAAUUGUUCUGGAACGAGAGCUUGUACCAUGCUGAGUUUGUAUAGUAGUGGGAUGAUUAAACUUUUAAUGAUUGUGACUUUUCCCAGAAGUGUAAGUCCACGUCGCGACCACAUGUUUAUAAUUCGUUGAGUGUUCGCUAGGCUACUGUCGAAAUGUAGAUUAAACAGUGUUUCUUUAAUGUUUCGUUUUCCUCAAUGUCACUUCGAUAUUAGGCAAAUUUUACAAAGAUACCUUAAGUUUCGUUGCCGGGUAU